UACGAAGGGGGCUAGCGUUGUUCGGAAUUACUGGGCGUAAAGCGCGCGCAGGCGGCUAUCCAAGUCAGUGGUGAAAGCCCGGAGCUCAACUCCGGAACUGCCAUUGAAACUGUUUAGCUUGAGGACGAGAGAGGUGAGUGGAAUUCCCAGUGUAGAGGUGAAAUUCGUAGAUAUUGGGAAGAACACCGGUGGCGAAGGCGGCGACCUGGGUAGAUACUGACGCUGAGGUGCGAAAGCGUGGGGAGCAAACAGG
rnacentral:rRNA from 1 species